GUUAGGAAUAUUGGACAAUGGGCGAAAGCCUGAUCCAGCCAUGCCGCGUGAACGAUGAAGGCCUUCGGGUUGUAAAGUUCUUUAGCCGAUGAUUAUAAUGACUGUAGUCGGAAAAUAAGCCCCGGCUAACUUCGUGCCAGCAGCCGCGGUAAUACGAAGGGGGCGAGCGUUAUUCGGAAUCACUGGGCGUAAAGCGUGCGUAGGCGGUUUUGUAAGUUAGGAGUGAAAGCCGAGGGCUCAACCUGGGAAUUGCUCUUAAAACUGCAAGGCUCGAAUCUCGGAGAGGAGAGAGGAAGUGUCAGUGUAGCAGUGAAAUGCGUAGAUAUUGACAGGAACACCAGUGGCGUAAGCGGCUAUCUGGACCGAUAUUGACGCUGAGGCACGAAAGCGUGGGGAUCAAACAGGAUUAGAAACCCCAGUAGUCC
rnacentral:rRNA from 1 species